rnacentral:lncRNA from 1 species
AUAUGUAAGUAUAGUAAAUUAUAAAUAUAUUUUUUAAAAAAUUUAAUUUUUAUAUAUUGUUUCUACGAAAAAUCUAAUAUUUUUAAAUAUGUCUUUCUAGUUUACUAGCGUUAAAAUACUGUCUAUUUAUAAAUAAAAUGCCUUUUUGCCAUCAUAAAUAUGUCCCUCUAAAAGUCCGAACUGUUAAUUGAAUACGGUAGAAAGAUCAAUUCACCUCGUUAACUAACUAGGGUUAAGUAUUUAACUUAUAAUUAACUAAAUUUUUCUAAUGGAGGGACACAUUUGAAAACAUCAGAAUUUUCAUAGGAACAAUAUAUGAAAGUUGAACUUGAUAUUGAUAUAUUUGUAAUUCACUAUAUUUGUAGGAUCUUUUUGAAAUUAAUCCUAUUAAAUUUAUAAUUGCGGAUCAUAAAUACUCGUUGAGAUGUGAGUAUUUUGAGUAAUCCAUGGACACCCACAAAUAUAUAUAUAUUUCGAAAUUUAUUUUCUAAAAGUUUUCUAUAAUCUAGAUCAUAUUUAACGGAGUGGAUCGUUGAUUCGGAAGCUCCAUCAUUGAAAACAACUUAUGAGUACGAGGGCUCCAAUACUCAUAAUAGUAUAGUAGCCAUGGCCUAUAUAUAUAUAUAUAGUUCGGCUGGAAUACUAUCGAUAGCACCAAGAAUUUGGUGCUAUCGAAUUUUUCAUCGUUAGAUUUAACCAUUUGAUUAUUUUUACCCGUUAGAUUAUACUAUUCAACAAACCACUCACUCAAUCUUAGGGGACCCACAUGAUUCUAACCACACAUUUCUCAAUUCAAGGGUUAAAAAACUAAUAGCACCAAUAACUUUGUACUAUUAAUAGUGUUCCAGUCUAGUUCUAUAUAUAUAUAUAUAUAUAUAUAUAUAUAGAGAGAGAGAGAGAGAGAGAGAGAGAGAGAGAGAGAGAGAGAGGAGCUAGAAUACUAUCAAUAGUAAAUGGGCUCCGUUGCCAUCUAUUUGUUUUCGAUGAUAGAGCCUCCAAAUCGAUGAUCGGUACCGUUGAAUAUGAUCUAUACCCCUUGAAGUGUUUAGAAAUAAAAGCUCAAAUCAUUUCGACAUCAUUUGCCUAAUGAUCAAUGAGUUUCAAAAUUUUUAAUUUUAAUGGUCGAUAUGAGGCGUUUUCUUGUUUAACGGCGUAAAGAUAUUCAAAUCAAUUGAAUUUUUGUUAGAAAAAAUUUUAAACUAUUUAAAACAAGAUCUAUAUUCUUCAUCUUGAUUACAAGACUCCUAUUAUCAUUUUUUAAAGAAUAUUCAUUUUCAGCCCUUUAUUUUUGUGUCCACUCGAUGGAUAAGAAACAAUAUCGAAACUAUAUGAAAUUUGAUUUCUAAACACUUCAGGUAGUAUAGAUUAUGUUCAAUAGUGCCGAUAGUUAAUUUGGAAGCUCCAUCAUCGAAAACAAAUGGAUGGCAACGGAGCCCGUUUGCUAUCGAUAGUAUUCUAGCUCAACUAUAUAUAUAUAGUCCGCUACUCUUAUGAGUACGAUCGCCUUUGUACUCAUAAGUCGUUUUCGAUGAUAUAGCUUCCGAAUCGACGAUCCAUACCGUUAAAUAUUUUCUAGAGCAUUUAAAACUUCUAGAAAUCAAAUUUCAUAAUUUGUCGACAUCAUUUACCUUACGACCAAAAGCUCACAAAAUUGACAAUUUUUAACGACCGGUAUGGAAUACUUACUAGUUUAACGGUGCAAAAGAAUCAGAAUAGGUUGAAUUUUUGAUAGAAAAUUCUAUUCGCUACCUAAAUAAAGAUCACUAACUCCGAUCUUAAAUUGAAGGAUCCGAUCAUCCAUUUUUAAGACGUCGUUCGAUUUUGACCGUUCAUUUUAUGCCCGCUUAAUGGACUUUAUUAUGAUUUCGAAAAAUUACGAAAUUUAUUUGCUAGAAGUUUCAAAUACUCUAGAUCAUAUUUAAUGGAGUAGAUCGUCGAUUCGGAAGCUCCAUCAUCGAAAACAACUUAUAAGUACGAAGGGUCCAAUACUCAUAAGAGUAUAGUAGCUCUACUAUAUAUA